AUUGAACGCUGGCGGCAGGCUUAACACAUGCAAGUCGAGCGGAGAUGAGGUGCUUGCACCUUAUCUUAGCGGCGGACGGGUGAGUAAUGCUUAGGAAUCUGCCUAUUAGUGGGGGACAACAUUCCGAAAGGAAUGCUAAUACCGCAUACGCCCUACGGGGGAAAGCAGGGGAUCUUCGGACCUUGCGCUAAUAGAUGAGCCUAAGUCGGAUUAGCUAGUUGGUGGGGUAAAGGCCUACCAAGGCGACGAUCUGUAGCGGGUCUGAGAGGAUGAUCCGCCACACUGGGACUGAGACACGGCCCAGACUCCUACGGGAGGCAGCAGUGGGGAAUAUUGGACAAUGGGCGGAAGCCUGAUCCAGCCAUGCCGCGUGUGUGAAGAAGGCCUUUUGGUUGUAAAGCACUUAAGCGAGGAGGAGGCUACCUGGAUUAAUACUCUAGGAUAGUGGACGUUACUCGCAGAAUAAGCACCGGCUAACUCUGUGCCAGCAGCCGCAGUAA
rnacentral:rRNA from 1 species